UACGAAGGGUGCAAACGUUGCUCGGAAUUAUUGGGCGUAAAGCGCACGUAGGCGGGUUCGAAAGUCGGAUGUGAAAUCCCUCGGCUCAACCAAGGAAGUGCAUCCGAAACUGUGAAUCUUGAGUACCAAAGAGGAUCGCGGAAUUCCCGGUGUAGAGGUGAAAUUCGUAGAUAUCGGGAGGAACACCAGUGGCGAAGGCGGCGAUCUGGGUGGAUACUGACGCUGAGGUGCGAAAGCGUGGGAGCAACAGGA
rnacentral:rRNA from 1 species